UGCAACUAUUUUCACCAUCACGUUAGAAGCGAAAAAUUGUAGUGAAUAACCAUUAAUAAAGCAUUUUAUUACGUACAAAGUACAUAUCAGGACAUCGGUAAACAAUGUAUCAUUUCCAAGAACAUGCGGCACCUUUCCCAGCUUAAUUUGUCCGCAUACCUACGAUAGAAUUUACGAUUUCAAAAGCUAAGUGAAAAAUUGAAAUCUGAAAUACACCAUCAUACAUUCAGAAGCAUUCCAUGGAUUUUUUCGAAAAGUAACGACAACGAGAAGAAGAAAUUCUCCUUAGAAUUAUUUCCCGUUCUCAACAAUCGUAAAAACCCAAUUAUUAAAAAAAACUAAUCAGAUGUGUAUUUUUUAUUUAUAAAAGAGUAAAGUCGGAAACAGCACAUCAUUGGUUCAAAAUGCACUGUAGCAAUUAUUGUUUUUCUAAAGUAAUCAGGGUAAAAAAUGUAAAAGCUUCUUUAAUGAUAAGCGAUCAGUGUAUAUGUUAUGUGGUACGAUUUCUUAUUAAGAUUUCAAACACGUUUUUAUUUGUAAUAAUUAGGUACUGGAUUGAUUUUUAUUUUCACACUUAAAAAAGACCUAUACAUUCCUUUUCAUUUUACAGUACAAUGCAUUUGCACUUUUUGGAGUGAAGUGGAGUACAAAUUGAGUUUUCUUGGCUCAAAAUUUGUCCCUUGGAUUUUGUUUAACACAUAAUUCUUCUGUUAUACAGGAACUCUCAAUUUGUGCUUUAUUUCACUCGAAAAAUUUACAAUACAGUGAACUGAAAUGGGAUAUACACAGAAAUUCGUAAGAGGCUUAUUAGCACAAACAGAAUGAUUUUAAAAAAUUGUGGAGGAAUUUCAAAGAUGAUAGAAUGCGGAAAUAAUUUGCUUUAUCAGAAUGGCUAUAAUUAUGCAUUUUGUACGAACUUUCAGACACUAAAAAUAUCUGCAAGACUACUGUUUAAAGUCACUGCUCAAGUUGGUGUGUUUUCUGUAUUAAUAGUGUGCUACUAUUAAUAAACUUAUUAACCCCGUCUCUU